rnacentral:rRNA from 1 species
UACGGGGGGGGGCAAGCGUUGUUCGGAAUUACUGGGCGUAAAGGGCUCGUAGGCGGCCAACUAAGUCAGACGUGAAAUCCCUCGGCUUAACCGGGGAACUGCGUCUGAUACUGGAUGGCUUGAGUUUGGGAGAGGGAUGCGGAAUUCCAGGUGUAGCGGUGAAAUGCGUAGAUAUCUGGGAGGAACACCGGUGGCGAAGGCGGCAUCCUGGACCAACACUGACGCUGAGUGAGCGAAAGCCAGGGGAGCAAACGGGG